AUUGAACGCUGGCGGCAUGCCUUACACAUGCAAGUCGAACGGCAGCACGGGCUUCGGUCUGGUGGCGAGUGGCGAACGGGUGAGUAAAGUAUCGGAACGUACCUUUCAGUGGGGGAUAACGUAGCGAAAGUUACGCUAAUACCGCAUAUUCUGUGAGCAGGAGAGCAGGGGAUCGCAAGACCUUGCGCUGAUUGAGCGGCCGAUAUCAGAUUAGCUAGUUGGUGGGGUAAAGGCCUACCAAGGCGACGAUCUGUAGCGGGUCUGAGAGGAUGAUCCGCCACACUGGAACUGAGACACGGUCCAGACUCCUACGGGAGGCAGCAGUGGGGAAUUUUGGACAAUGGGGGCAACCCUGAUCCAGCCAUGCCGCGUGAGUGAAGAAGGCCUUCGGGUUGUAAAGCUCUUUCGGCCGGGAAGAAAUCGCAUGGGCUAACACCCUGUGUGGAUGACGGUACCGGAAUAAGAAGCACCGGCUAACUACGUGCCAGCAGCCGCCGUAAAAC
rnacentral:rRNA from 1 species